rnacentral:rRNA from 1 species
UCGCGUCUGCUGUGAAAACCCGAGGCUCAACCUCGGGCCUGCAGUGGGUACGGGCAGACUAGAGUGCGGUAGGGGAGAAUGGAAUUCCUGGUGUAGCGGUGGAAUGCGCAGAUAUCAGGAGGAACACCGAUGGCGAAGGCAGUUCUCUGGGCCGUAACUGACGCUGAGGAGCGAAAGCGUGGGGAGCGAACAGGAUUAGAUACCCUGGUAGUCCACGCCGUAAACGUUGGGCGCUAGAUGUGGGGACCAUUCCACGGUUUCCGUGUCGCAGCUAACGCAUUAAGCGCCCCGCCUGGGGAGUACGGCCGCAAGGCUAAAACUCAAAGGAAUUGACGGGGGCCCGCACAAGCGGCGGAGCAUGCGGAUUAAUUCGAUGCAACGCGAAGAACCUUACCAAGGCUUGACAUAUACGAGAACGGGCCAGAAAUGGUCAACUCUUUGGACACUCGUAAACAGGUGGUGCAUGGUUGUCGUCAGCUCGUGUCGUGAGAUGUUGGGUUAAGUCCCGCAACGAGCGCAACCCUCGUUCUAUGUUGCCAGCGCGUAAUGGCGGGAACUCAUAGGAGACUGCCGGGGUCAACUCGGAGGAAGGUGGGGAUGACGUCAAAUCAUCAUGCCCCUUAUGUCUUGGGCUUCACGCAUGCUACAAUGGCCGGUACAAAGGGCUGCAAUACCGUAAGGUGGAGCGAAUCCCAAAAAGCCGGUCUCAGUUCGGAUUGAGGUCUGCAACUCGACCUCAUGAAGUCGGAGUCGCUAGUAAUCGCAGAUCAGCAACGCUGCGGUGAAUACGUUCCCGGGCCUUGUACACACCGCCCGUCAAGUCAUGAAAGUCGGUAACACCCGAAGCCGGUGGCCCAACCCUUGUGGAGGGAGCC